CCCGGAUGUCCCACCCCUGCUCGUCACUCCCCACCUUGGACACCUGAGGAGUCAUCCAAAACUGGCCUCCAAGUAGCUACCCCGGCUCCACCCACCGUUCCCCAUCAGGUCUCAGAAGAUCUUUCUAACCCAGGGAUUGAACCCGAGUCUCCUGCACGGGCACGCUCCACUUCCUAAACAUGGGCUGAAUUGGACCAAUCCCAACAGCUCUCACUGCCAGAACAAGGCCAGCCCAGUGACCUCUCACCCAGGCCUCUGCGAGUGGUCCCCUCCCCCAUCUCCAUGACACCAGGGUUCCCAGAUCAUCUCCUCCACCAUCAACACUCUCCUGAUGCGCCUUCAUUUCAUCUUCUAACCGCCCUCAUCAGAGCUGUGGUGUUCCCAGUAGUCACGCGUGGAUAUGAGAGCUGGACCAUAAAGAACGCUGAGUGCUGAAGAACAGAUGCUUUUGAAGUGUGGUAUUGGAGAAGACUCUUGAGAGUCCCCUGGACUGCAAGGAGAUCCAACCAGUCAAUCCUG